CCUACGGGUGGCAGCAGUGAGGAAUAUUGGUCAAUGGACGAGAGUCUGAACCAGCCAAGUAGCGUGAAGGAUGACUGCUCUAUGGGUUGUAAACUUCUUUUAUAUAGGAAUAAAAUGUUCUACGUGUGUGCUUCUGUAUGUACCAUACGAAUAAGGAUCGGCUAACUCCGUGCCAGCAGCCGCGGUAAUACGGAGGAUCCGAGCGUUAUCCGGAUUUAUUGGGUUUAAAGGGUGCGUAGGUGGAUUGUUAAGUCAGUUGUGAAAGUUUGCGGCUCAACCGUAGAAUUGCAGUUGAAACUGGCAGUCUUGAGUGCAGUAGAGGUAGGCGGAAUGCGUGGUGUAGCGGUGAAAUGCUUAGAGAUCACGCAGAACUCCGAUUGCGAAGGCAGCUCACUAGACUGCAACUGACACUGAGGCUCGAAAGUGUGGGUAUCAAACAGGAUUAGAUACCCUGGUAGUC
rnacentral:rRNA from 1 species